CCCCAAUCUCACCCCUCUCUCUCUCUAUCUCUCUCUCUCUCGGCACCCACACAAAACACACACCCUAAACCUAACCCUACCGCGCCGCCACCCCCGACUUGCACGCCGCCGCCCAUCCGCUGCCUCCCUCACCCCCACAUCAUCUCCGACUCAAGCUCCCUCCAGCCCGUCCCCAUGACCUAGCAACAUCCAUCCAUGUCGUCGUGUUCGCAUGCUCCGGCGUUCCAUCGCAGCCACACCUCAUCGUCCGCCACCGUAGCCACACCCCGUUGUCCGUCGCCACAGCCACACCCCGUCGUCCGCCGCUGCAUCCACAUCCCCUACGACCUCCCCUCCACGACGUACCGAUCUGGCCUCACGGGCGCAACCCGCAUCUCCGAUCUCCCCUCCGAGGCGCCCUGCUCCAGACUUGUCGAUGCUUCAUGCGUCUGCGGCCUCCCCUCUAUGGCUCCCUUUAUCGGCUCCCUCCCUGAAGCGGCCCAUACCAUGGGACUCCCUUCCUCCCCAUCAGCAGCUCACACGGGAUGGAGGGAGUCGUCCCGUCGGCCAUGGCAGUAGGGGUGCCUCAAAUGACCUCAAACCCACUGGUUCCUCUCCCUGAUGAGCAAGUGUUCAAUUCCUCAAAUACCUGAUGUGUAGCAUUUUAUCUGUUAGAAGUAAAUUUCUUAUUUUUCUCCUACUGGUUCGUUGGAGUUUUAUUUGUUCAUGGAGCAUAUUUGCUAGUUUCUCUAGUCGUACACAUGUCGUGGUUCAUGAGCAUGUAACAAGAACAAUUAGGGAUUCGCUAGAUCUAUUUGUGAAGCAGCUAGUUUAAUAAUUCCUGUGAGAUGCAAGCAGGUGGUUCAUUCGAUUUUUAUUGGAAGUUGUUAGUACAGGAUAUUGCAACUUUGCAAGAAGAGUUCCUCAAAAAAUAUUGCAAGCACAUGCUAGUCUGGUCAUUACCUAGCCUGCUUACGAUAGCAAUAAACAUGGGAUGUUUUGACUUCCUAGUUAGAUGAAUGGAGUAAUAAACUAUUAUCCCAUUUUUUUGUUAUUCCGUGAUUUUGAACUCUCGUCUGCUCACUCCUUGUUAUUUCCUGAUUUGCAUUGAUAUGAGAAUAUGCAAGAUAUUUGCACUGAUAAUCUAUUAUGCAUUUUGUGGUGAGAUGUUUCUCUAUAUGAAAUCCUUUUAUUUUUAGGCCAGACCAUUAAUUAUAUUGCCAUACAAAUCUUUCUAUUAAAAAAUUGUGAAUGACAAUACGUAAGCUAACUCUAAAUUGCAUUGAUGCUGUCGAGUGGCGACAGAUGCUAUUGCCGAAGAUUUGACCUUAUACCGCAUUAAAUAAAAUAAUCAUGAUUUUCAUUUUUUUUCUUCCUCCCCGUCCUAUUUAUAUAAUAUUAUUCUUGCAGUUUCCCAUAUAUCAAGAUCUGCUCAUGCUCGCCAUAGAUUUGGAUGGAUAGCAGAUUCUUUUUGGAAGGAGAAGAGAGAUAAUAUAGGGUCGCUUGGUUUACUAGCUACUACUGACUUUGAUAGUAUGAGCUUUCUAGAUAUAAGGGACAUGACAUGCUGGCACCAUUCAUAGAUGGAUGGCAAAGCAAUGGUGUGCAUCCGUUGGUUAUUCAGAGAUCUAAGUUCUUAUGUUUAUGACAUCAACGGGAAUAAGUAUCCAGAUUCUGUAGAAGGAUUGUGGUGUACACCUUUAGCCACUGAACAAACCAAGGUAAAGAAAGACAAACAAGGAAAAGGCUAGCUGUUGACUGGCGGUGAUGAACUGACAGAUAGUGUGGCAGAAGAAAGUGUGCUCUCAACAGCGGCUCAUGAAGUAUUUUUUCCUUUGCAUGUUGAUCACUAUUCACUACUGCACUAUUCAGGUUCUUAAUCAAGUGACUAUAUGCCAAUGGUUGUGGGUUUCAAGCAAGGGAAUGGUGGAGGUGGUGAUUGAAGAGCCCUUAAUCAAUUCAGACUCGUAGAUUGGAGUAGCAACAUGGGAUAUUGCACCAUGUAGCUCCCUUUGUGUGAUUCAUCUUCUUUUCUUGGUCCAUCAACUAGAGCAAUCGACAGGAUCAUCAGUUGGACAUGGCCUUACAAAAUGUGUGCAUCAUAUGGACACGACCAAGAGUUCCAAGAAGAAUGUGUGGUGCCCCUCUCGAAACAUAGGGACAUUGGAAGAAAGUAGCUAGUCCACAAGUUGAUCGAAGAAGUUCCAAUGAUCACUUUUGUUCAUAACAUGGUAGAAACAUUUUUUUCAUAUGGAAGUUGAUGCCGGCUUGGUGAUUGAAGCAAUGGUCUCUUUCAUUAUAUUUUGUACGAGUCAAUUGAUCGAACAAUUGGUCUCUUAGGAGGCUAGACCUUAUAUUUCACAACAGAUUACAUCUUGUAUGGAUGACUUCCGUAAUUCCUUCAUGGUUGUAGCAACUUGAGUGAAGAUAGCUAAUCUUCAAUAUAUGUUGUGAAUAAAUGUACUAUUCAAUGGUAUCUUUUGAUUAAUAGAGGCGUGCAAUUAUUCUUA